rnacentral:lncRNA from 1 species
CAUCAUUUCCUCUUUUGCUCUCCGAUCUGGUUCUGGUUAUCCCGUACUGUCAUCUGGACUAUCUACUUGGCUUCUAUCUAGCUAGCUGCAUACUAUCCACACAGUAGCAGUUGUUCAAGGUAACAAAAGGCACGUAACUAUCUCACCUCACGCCUCUUCCAAAUCUUCCUGCCCGUAUCUAGACUUAUUUAUGUAAGCUAGCUUCAUUUAUUGUUCCUGCUUAUGAAUUCUCAUUGUAUACAGGAACCUGUAAACAACCGUUCGAGAAACAAAUCUGGAGAGUGGAGAUUGUUAAUGAGCUUACUGAUCAAUGAUAACUGCUG